ACUAAGCACUAAAAACACCACAAUUUUCUUCUGAAAUACACACUGAAAUUAAUACUGAAGAUUCUGUAUCUCAUUCUUUUAUUAUCAUUCAAAUUAAUAAAAAUCUGCUCUAUUCAAGUCUGAAUCUGCUUCUGUGAUAGAUCUCUCCAUACUCUUUCUCAUAUUGCUAUAGCUGCUGCCUGGUUCUGUGGAGCUUCUUUGACUAGACUGGCUUGUGACGGGUUAGCACCCGUUAGUAAUUAACUUACGCAACCAACUCCCCUCCUGCACCUGCUUGUUCCUGGCUGUUGUGAUCUCAUGUAACCCUUGAUGUUCUUCUGCUCUGUGCUCCACACUUGCAUAGUUUCUAACAAUUCUUUCAUAUAGCUCUUAACAUUCUUUCACUCUGUGUUCUAUACUUAUAUAGUCUCUAACAAUUCUUCUGUAUAGCUUCUAAUAUUCUUUCAUUUCAUGUUCUGUACUUGUGUAGUCUCUAACAAUUCUUUCAUGUAGCUUUCAAUGAUUUCUCCACUUCAUACUCCA
rnacentral:sRNA from 1 species